rnacentral:rRNA from 1 species
CCUACGGGAGGCAGCAGUGAGGAAUAUUGGUCAAUGGCCGAGAGGCUGAACCAGCCAAGUCGCGUGAGGGAAGACGGCCCUACGGGUUGUAAACCUCUUUUGUCGGGGAGCAAAGCGAGGCACGUGUGACGCAUUGAGAGUACCCGAAGAAAAAGCAUCGGCUAACUCCGUGCCAGCAGCCGCGGUAAUACGGAGGAUGCGAGCGUUAUCCGGAUUUAUUGGGGGUAAAGGGUGCGCAGGCGGAGGUGCAAGUCAGCGGUCAAAUUGCGGGGCUCAACCCCGUACGGCCGUUGAAACUGCAUCCCUUGAGUGCGCGCGACGUAUGCGGCAUGCGUGUUGUCGCGGUGAACUGCCUAGCUAUCACGCAGCACUCCGAUUGCGCAGGCAGCAUCCCGGCGCGCAACUGCCGCUCAUGCACGAACGCGUGGGUAUCGAACCGGAUUAGAUACCCUAGUAGUC